CGGACGGGUGAGUAAUGUCUGGGAAACUGCCUGAUGGAGGGGGGUAACUACUGGAAACGGUAGCUAAUACCGCAUAACGUCGCAAGACCAAAGAGGGGGACCUUCGGGCCUCUUGCCAUCGGAUGUGCCCAGAUGGGAUUAGCUAGUAAGUGGGGUAACGGCUCACCUAGGCGACGAUCCCUAGCUGGUCUGAGAGGAUGACCAGCCACACUGGAACUGAGACACGGUCCAG
rnacentral:rRNA from 1 species